rnacentral:rRNA from 1 species
AGGGGACCUGCGGAAG